GACGAACGCUGGCGGCGCGCUUAACACAUGCAAGUCGAGCGAGAACCAUGCCUUCGGGCAUGGGGACAGCGGCGAACGGGUGAGUAACACGUGGGUAAUCUGCCCUUGACAUCGGGAUAGCCCGGGGAAACCCGGAUUAAUACCGAAUAGCCUCCGAAGCCCUCGGGCGUCGGAGAAAAGGUAGCUUCGGCCUCUGGUCAAGGAUGAGCCCGCGGCGGAUUAGCUUGUUGGCGGGGUAACGGCCCACCAAGGCGACGAUCCGUAGCUGGUCUGAGAGGACGAUCAGCCACACUGGGACUGAGACACGGCCCAGACUCCUACGGGAGGCGGCAGUGGGGAAUCUUGCGCAAAGGCGGGAAACCGUGACGCAGCGACGCCGCGUGGGGGAAGAAGGCCUUCGGGUUGUAAACCUCUUUCAGGAGGGACGAAGCUACUCGGGUUAAUAGCCCAGAGGGUGACGGUACCUCCAGAAGAAGCCCCGGCUAACUACGUGCCAGCAGCCGCCGUAAAAC
rnacentral:rRNA from 1 species